UCUCCGUAGGUGAACCUGCGGAGGGAUCAUUACCGAGCUCAUGCCCUUACGGGUAGAUCUCCCACCCUGUGUUAUUAUUACCUUUGUUGCUUUGGCGGGCCGCCAGGCUCCGGUCAGGCUAUCGGGUUCGGCUGGUAAGCGCCCGCCAGAGGACCCUAUAUCCUGAUUAUUAGUGUCGUCUGAGUACUAUAUAAUAGUUAAAACUUUCAACAACGGAUCUCUUGGUUCUG
rnacentral:misc_RNA from 1 species